GGCUCAAUGGUCCAGUGGUAAGAUACUCGCUUCGGGUUAGCUAUGCUCUCUUCCCGGUCUCUUUCCAAAAGGGAUUGAAAAUGUGAGUGGUCCCGGGUUCGAAUCCCGGUUGAGCCC